rnacentral:rRNA from 1 species
AUACGUAGGUGGCAAGCGUUAUCCGGAAUUAUUGGGCGUAAAGAGGGAGCAGGCGGCAGCAAGGGUCUGUGGUGAAAGCCUGAAGCUUAACUUCAGUAAGCCAUAGAAACCAGGCAGCUAGAGUGCAGGAGAGGAUCGUGGAAUUCCAUGUGUAGCGGUGAAAUGCGUAGAUAUAUGGAGGAACACCAGUGGCGAAGGCGACGAUCUGGCCUGCAACUGACGCCCAGUCCCGAAAGCGUGGGGAGCAAAUAGGAUUAGAUCCCCUAGUAGUCCACGCCGUAAACGAUGAGUACUAAGUGUUGGAUGUCAAAGUUCAGUGCUGCAGUUAACGCAAUAAGUACUCCGCCUGAGUAGUACGUUCGCAAGAAUGAAACUCAAAGGAAUUGACGGGG